GUCAUAUGGUAAUUUAAUGUGUUAUAUCCUGAUGUUUUGACACAGAUUAAUGUUGAUAAAGAGGACUAUGCUGUUGAGUUUCUGGCUGAGGAGCAGUUUGUGGACGAACAUGGAAAAGUCGUCACUAGAAAUGUGGGGGUGGAUAUGAGGAAGGGUGCUCAGUCAGUGAAGCGCACCAGUCUGCGUAGAGUAUAACACUGAAACACACAUACCCAGUCCUCAAGGACCGGACAUCCACUGCCAAACUAUCCUCCACAAACACAAAGCCAGGUGACAGAGGGAAAUUAGGAAAAGAUUGAGAGGAGAGAAGAGGGAACGAAGACUGAUAGAAAGACUAAGAUCUGCAAACAACAAAUACAAACACAAAAUCAUCUGCAGAACGACCCUGGAGUUCCACAGCAAGAGGAAAAGAGACAGAGAUCUACUUGUAGUUUUGUAACAUUUUUUUAAAGAAAAAGAUACUAAACUAGAGUAGAGCAUGAUUUUUUUUCUAUGAAAAACAUGAGAAAAUCCAACCCCCAAAAAAUGCAACAAAAAAGUGCUUCCUGUCAACUGUAACCGCAUGAUUGACUGAUGGUGCAUGACCUUUGAACUGUCAUUAUCUACAAACUGAAGGGGUACAAGGUACACGGCCGACCCAGGACUGGGUCAGGGGUGAGUUUAAGGAUACUUUUUCCCCCAAAAGGGAGUGGUUUGUGUAAGCAAGUUGAUUCUGGCAACACUAAAGCCAAAAAAGCAAGUAUUUUUUCCCCACAACUGAUUGGUACGAUACAGCGAAGCCAAUGCUGAGCCUACCAAUGCUUCAUUCACUUGGACCCUAUUUCCCUGUUAUUCUAUGUGAUAUAUUCUCUAUGCUUUGUGUCUGUGUGUGUACCUUUACUGCACGUGUUCUCUCGCUUCAGGCUUGGCACUGAGCCUUGUCCUGGUUGGUCGGUGCUCCUGUGAUGUCACGGCGUGCUCAGUGUGGGAAUGAGAAAGCCACUGUUCUCCCCUGCUCGUGAGCGUCUGUCUGCGUGUGCCGUCUUUCCUUUGUGAAUGCGCUUCUUGUGUUUCUUGUGUUUCUUUAGCGUUGUCAACCCCAGUUCCAUUUUGUCUAACUUUGAUAGGGAAUCACUUUCUCCCCCUGUUUUACUCAGACAAAGGUUUGAUAGCAUUGUGUGGCAGCCAGUGGACUCUAAGAUUCUUACCCAACACAUCCCUGAUUUACAGUAGCAUGAUGUGCCCUUUCCCUCAUACCACCCUCCCCUCCGAUAUGUUGACACCAUACUCCUCUCCAUCAACUCCUGUAGCUCCAACUUAUGUCUCUAGCCUAUCAGCUUCCCCCUUUGCUCUCUCUCUCUCUCUCUUUUUCUCUCCUCUCUGUUUGCUUUGGCUGUAGCACCUCAUGGCUUCGUUCUUUUAUGGUUCACAUUAGAUUGUGCUUUCGGUUUUAGGGGGUGAAGAAGAUAGGGGCAUAAUAAACAGUGUGGAUAAUCAUAUUUAUGGGAACGAGAUGGAGGUAUAUGUGGAAGUUUAGAUUUUAGAGACUAGCGUAGCUAAUCAAGUAAGGACAUACUGACAGAUAGCACUGUGACCGCCCAACUUAACACUGACCCCUGAGCCCAUGUACCUUGUACUGUGAACUUACACAUACACACACCUCAUACAUGCAUACAUACAAACACACACAUAACCAUUAUACACACUCGCACAUAUCACUAAUACACACAUGCACAUACAGUAAUUGAUCUAUUGUGCCCUAGUUGUUAUGAGAAGCCAGGUCAGGCUCAGAUUAUGUACUUUGGUGUCUGCCACAGCAAUAAUAUCCAACAAGGAAAACACAGAGGGAUAUAUAGAGUUGAAGUCGGAAGUUUACAUACACUUAGG